rnacentral:rRNA from 1 species
AUUGAACGCUAGCGGCAGGCCUAACACAUGCAAGUCGAACGAGUGGCGGACGGGUGAGUAAUAUCUGGGAAACUGCCCGAUGGCGGGGGAUAACUACUGGAAACGGUAGCUAAUACCGCAUACCAUCGGAUCGGCCGAGAUGGGAUUAGCUAGUAGGUGGGGUAACGGCUCACCAAGGCAACGAUCCCUAGCUGGUCUGAGAGGACGACAAGCCACACUGGAACUGAGAAACGGCCCAGACUCCUACGGGAGGCAGCAGUGGGGAAUAUUGGACAAUGGGCGAAAGCCUGAUGCAGCCAUGCCGCGUGUAUGAAGAAGGCCUUCGGGUUGUAAAGUACUUUUAGCGAGGAGGCGGUAUCUGCAGAAUAAGCACCGGCUAACUCCGUGCCAGCAGCCGCGGUAAUAC